GACGAACGCUGGCGGCGUGCCUAACACAUGCAAGUCGAGCGGGGUUGAGGCGAGAGGUAACUCGAGCUUCUACCUAGCGGCGGACGGGUGAGUAACGCGUGGGCAACCUGCCUCAAGGUUUGGGAUAACAGCCCGAAAGGGCUGCUAAUACCGGAUAUGCCUAUGGCCUCGCAUGGGGCUAUGAGCAAAGGGGAAACCCGCCUUGAGAUGGGCCCGCGUCCCAUCAGCUAGUUGGUGAGGUAACAGCUCACCAAGGCGACGACGGGUAGCCGGCCUGAGAGGGUGACCGGCCACACUGGGACUGAGACACGGCCCAGACUCCUACGGGGGGCAGCAGUGGGGGAUCUUGCACAAUGGGCGAAAGCCUGAUGCAGCGACGCCGCGUGAGCGAAGAAGGCCUUCGGGUUGUAAAGCUCUGUCUGGAGGGACGAACAAAAUGACGGUACCUCCGGAGGAAGCCACGGCUAACUACGUGCCAGCAGCCGCGGAAUAUCACGUGUACG
rnacentral:rRNA from 1 species